rnacentral:rRNA from 1 species
AAUCAACGCUGGCGGCGUGCCUCAGACAUGCAAGUCGAACGAUUAAAGCUCUCUUCGGAGAGUGUAUAGAGUGGCGCACGGGUGAGUAACACGUAAGUAAUCUACCUUUGAGUGGGGAAUAACAGUCGGAAACGGCUGCUAAUACCGCAUAAUGCAGCGGCAUCGCAAGAUGACAGUUGUUAAAGGAGCAAUCCGCUUAAAGAGGAGCUUGCGACAGAUUAGCUUGUUGGUAAGGUAACGGCUUACCAAGGCUACGAUCUGUAUCCGGUCUAAGAGGACGGUCGGACACACUGACACUGAAUAACGGGUCAGACUCCUACGGGAGGCAGCAGUCGGGAAUUUUGGGCAAUGGGCGAAAGCCUGACCCAGCAACGCCGCGUGAAGGAUGAAGUAUUUCGGUAUGUAAACUUCGAAAGAAUAGAAGAAUAAAUGACGGUACUAUUUAUAAGCUCCGGCUAACUACGUGCCAGCCGCCGCUGUU